UACGGAGGUGGCAAGCGUUGCUCGGAAUCACUGGGCGUAAAGGGUGCGUAGGUGGUGAGGUAAGUCGGAUGUGAAAUCUCCGGGCUCAACCCGGAAAUGGCAUUGGAAACUACCUUGCUGGAGGAUUUGAGGGGGGAUUGGAAUACUUGGUGUAGCAGUGAAAUGCGUAGAUAUCAAGUGGAACACCAGUGGCGAAGGCGGAUCUCUGGGCCUUACCUGACGCUCAGGUGCGAAAGCUAGGGGAGCGAACAGG
rnacentral:rRNA from 1 species